rnacentral:rRNA from 1 species
UACGUAGGGGGCGAGCGUUGUCCGGAGUUACUGGGCGUAAAGGGCGUGCAGGCGGUCUGGUAAGUUUGGAGUGACAGUGCUCGGCUUAACUGAGCAAGGUUUUCAAAAACUGCUGGACUUGAGGACUUGAGAGGGACAUAGAAUUCCGGGUGGAGUGGUGAAAUGCGUAGAUAUCCGGAGGAAUACCAAAGGCGAAGGCAGUGUCCUGGCAAGUAACUGACGCUGAGGCGCGAAAGCUAGGGGAGCGAACAGG